rnacentral:rRNA from 1 species
UACAGAGGUCUCAAGCGUUGUUCGGAUUCAUUGGGCGUAAAGGGUGCGUAGGCGGCGCGGUAAGUCGGGUGGGAAAUCUCGGAGCUUAACUCCGAAACUGCAUUCGAUACUGCCGUGCUUGAGGACUGGAGAGGAGACUGGAAUUUACGGUGUAGCGGUGAAAUGCGUAGAUAUUGUGAGGAACACUAGUGGCGAAGGCGAGACUCUGGACAGUUCCUGACGCUGAGGCACGAAGGCCAGGGGAGCAAACGGG